rnacentral:tRNA from 1 species
UUUAAAAGAAGUAAACAUUACAUUCAGUUUCGGCCUGAAAAUUGGAAAAACCCUUUUAAAA